rnacentral:rRNA from 1 species
CAAUAGCGUAUAUUUAAGUUGUUGCAGUUAAAAAGCUCGUAGUUGGAUUUCGGGUGAAGAUGACCGGUCUGCCGAUGCGGUACGCACUGGACGUUUUCAUCUUAUUGUCGGGGACGCGCUUCUGGGCUUUAUUGUUCGGGACGCGGAGUCGGCGCUGUUACUUUGAAAAAUUAGAGUGUUCAAAGCAGGCAAUCGCUCUGAAUACAUUAGCAUGGAAUAACGCUAUAGGACUCUGGUCCUAUUGUGUUGGUCUUCGGGACCGGAGUAAUGAUUAAUAGGGAUAGUUGGGGGCAUUCGUAUUUAACUGUCAGAGGUGAAAUUCUUGGAUUUUUGGAAGACAAACUACUGCGAAAGCAUUUACCAAGGAUGUUUUCAUUAAUCAAGAACGAAAGUUAGGGGAUCGAAGAUGAUUAGAUACCAU